AGACAGCAGCCGCCGCGGUAAUACGAAGGGUGCAAGCGUUAAUCGGAAUUACUGGGCGUAAAGCGUGCGGAGGCGGUUUGUUAAGUCUGCUGUGAAAUCCCCGGGCUCAACCUGGGAAUGGCAGUGGAUACUGGCAAGCUAGAGUGUGUCAGAGGAUGGUGGAAUUCCCGGUGUAGCGGUGAAAUGCGUAGAGAUCGGGAGGAACAUCAGUGGCGAAGGCGGCCAUCUGGGACAACACUGACGCUGAGGCACGAAAGCGUGGGGAGCAAACAGGAUUAGAUACCCCCGUAGUCCCUGUCUCUUAUAC
rnacentral:rRNA from 1 species